CCUACGGGUGACUGCAGUGGGGAAUAUUGCACAAUGGGGGAAACACUGAUGCAGCGACGCCGCGUGAGUGAAGAAGUAAUUCGGUAUGUAAAGCUCUAUCAGUAGGGAAGAAAAUGACGGUACCUGAGUAAGAAGCCCCGGCUAACGACGUGCCAGCUGCGGCGGUAAUACGUAGGGGGCAAGGGUUAUCCGGAUUUUCUGGGUGUAAAGGGGGCGUAGACGGCAGUGCAAGUCUGGAGUGAAAGGGGGGGGCUCAACCCCCGGUCUGCUCUUGAAACUGUACGGCUGGAGUGCAGGAGAGGUAAGUGGAAUUCCUAGUGUAGCGGUGAAAUGCGUAGAUAUUAGGAGGAACACCAGUGGCGAAGGCGGCUUACUGGACUGUAACUGACGUUGAGGCUCGAAAGCGUGGGGAGCAAACAGGAUUAGAUACCCCAGUAGUC
rnacentral:rRNA from 1 species